AAUCACAUGUGAAGUUGAUGUAUA
rnacentral:siRNA from 1 species